GGCGGCGGCCCCGAUUGGCCGAGUCUGGGUCACGUGGCCCCUCCGAGUUUCCCUUCCCCGUGCAGCCCUGCCGGAACGCCGCAGGUUCCCGGAGCGGCCCGCAGGCGUCACCGCUUCUGAGUGGCUGCUGGUCCAGGCAGGGCGCGCCGCUGUGGCGGUUGUUAUUCUGAUGAGAAAUGGAGCCAGAACCCUCGUCAAAUUGCACCUGCGGUCCAACCACGUCUUUUCAGUUGAGUCCCCGAAACCUGUUUAGCUUAAGCCAGUUUGAGCAGCACGUUCUCUUACUUGCAAGAUUAAACGUCAGAGUUGAAACACAAAUAGAGAUAAAUACUGAUCAGAACGACCUGGAAAAAAAUGAAUUUUUCAUGUACUAAGCUUGUGACUUAGUAAGAAAGUCUUCGAGCCGGUACCCAUGCCCUCAGCAGGGACAAACCUGGCAAGUUGGAGAAACAGCAAGGAGACAACUCAGGGAGCUUACGAAUGAUCGAGAGGAAGACGGUAGGAGGUAAGAUUGGACAGACGGCAAGAGUCAGACGUCAGAGCCACGUCAGAGUAGAGCUGGCCCUUCGGAUCUCACCCCAACGAGACCCAUGCGAUCCCGGCAACAAAACACUGUUCUUCCAGCUCUUAGCUGCUUUGAUUGGAAGCAAGGAGUUUCAAAUCGUCUUCUUGAUGUCUGUGAAGGGUUUAAUGGGACUGCAGAAGACAGAAAACAAAGAUUGUCAUGGUCUUUUCCACAGACUCAACUGUGCUCAUCUGUCUGCGUGUUUGGUGCCAGUGCAAAGGUAAAUUCUGGCAAACUCAGUCGGUGAUCUUCUUACCAAAGAAAUGAACAGACCUGAGCUGCUAAGUGUCCUCCAGCCCUUACACACAACCUGCCCAUAGAGGUGAGAUCUGCUUACCUGCAAUGUUGGGCUUUUCCUAAGGAAAGUUUGGGUCACCUUUCACUUUCCUCUGAAUAUGCAGAAGCAGGGAGAUUUCUGACCAUAGAAAUGGAAGCAGGAGCCUCUUAGAUGCUUCCUACAAGAUACCUGUCGUCGUUGGCGGUCGGAGAAAAGAUGUGCACGCGCUGCCUGCUGUCAAAGCCUCUCUCUCACGGUGCGGGAAAGGCGUGCCCUCCUCUAGUCUGGAAAUACAUCAGGGGUGAGAACGGACUCGGGGCCUGCGGGAAGACAGAGGCUCAUACGCUUUUCUCCAGCCGGUUGGAGGGUCUUUGAAGAGGCUGCAGGUGGAUGAAC